rnacentral:lncRNA from 1 species
ACAUUAAAUUUUAUUUAGAAUAGUGAAAACAUCACUUAUUAUGAAACAAAAGUAAAAUCCUUAAACAUCACUUAAAGUGAUACGAAUAAGAGCGAAAAUCCUUUGCUAAAAAAAAAGAGCGAAAAUCCUAAAACAUAUAUUAUCAUGGUUACAAAGUAAUUUGAGGUACAAAAUACACUUUAUUUAAUACUAACUUAUUUAAUUUUGAAAUGAACAGAAAAUACUUGUACAUCUUGUAUAUUUAUAUGAUAUGAUGGUGUAGCAAAUAUUGCAGUUAAAUUUAUGUACAA